GGAAAGCUGCCGCUGCAGAAAAGAAACGAGUAAGCCCCUUUGUGCUUGGCCUGCGAGGUGUUUCCUUCCCGAGCAGACUUGAAGCUGUCACCUCUCAGUCUGGGUUUGGAAUAAAUACACUCGCCCACCGAGAGAUGAGGCGGCGCCUGGCCGCACCUGGGAGGUACCUGGUCGCACCUGGAAGUGCCUGGUCUCCCCUGGCAGGUACCUGGCCGCUCCUUUCCUGGAGCCAUGGGCACGGGCCCCUCCCGGACUUUCUACUGCUCUGCAGGAGGAUCCGAUGACUGUGACCGACUGGGACACCGACCCAGGAAUGCCUGGCGGGGUGGAGGGUCUGGAGACUGCAAUUGAGAUUUCACCUGAUUCUUGGCCACAAAGUUUCAAGGGAACCAGAGCUAAUGAAGACAGCAUGGAAGGGCACCGCCGAGACCUACCUGUGGGAGUCCACCUCACCCUCAAGAACAGCUACCAUUUUAACACAGAUGGAUAAACCCCAUGAAAGUGAACUUCCUAAAUGCAAAUUCUGAUCUUGAAGCCCCAGCUGGCACAUCUACUGGAGACCCUCCCAAGCAACAAGAUGUAGAUGCUUUAGAGAUAACAAACUAUACAAGUUGUCUUCCAUUCUUUCUCCUUCCUCUAUUUUCAACACGGAUAAAAUACAUAUAUAUUUAUCUUGCUGAGCUCAGUAGGAUUAUUUAGCUUUAUUUCCAUGGCUGCCUUUUCUUAAUGUAAUAGAAUUUCCAAUCGAGCUUAUUACUUCCUUCCGUCACAAGCCUGAGGUCCUUUCACACCCAUCCUGUCCUUGGCAAAGAUCUUUGGAAAGUAGCCUGGGACAUACCUAGUGGUAAGCCACCUGCUCUGGGUUGAGGGUGGAUCUAUUCUAGUCAGAGGCUUUGUGAUCUGGACAAAGGAAUUGAGUAUGUGGCUGUCAAACUGUCAGGCAAUACUAAAUUUGGCUGGCCAGCUGAAUUCUAGCAGAAAAUCAUGCAAAAUAAGGUUUAGCAAUUGGGGAAAAAUGGCCCACAGGAAAAACAAAGGGAUGAAAUUCCGUAGGACUACACGGCCAUAGAAUUCUAACUUGAGGGCUGCAACCAGCUAUGUGACCUUGUAGUACAAGGACCAGUCUUCAGAUACAAAAUAGAGUUUGGAGUUAAAGGGAUCUUUGAGAAGAAGCCAUUAUCCACCCCCUCCUCCCAAUUUUAUAUGCCCUAAGAAAAAGGUUUCUUUCAACUUAGAAAGGUAUGAUUCUUGAAGUGCACUUCCUCCGAGUUUUCCUGAGCCUCUCAAUCAAAAUGACUUGCACCUGCCCAUCCAUUCCCAUUGGCUUAUGCUCCUACCCUGCAGUAUUGGCUUCAUUAUGCCUCACCUUGUACACCUGUCUGAUUCCUCUCCUAGAUUAUCAGCACCUUGACAAUGGGCUCGUAUCUUGUGUAUCCCUGAAUUUCCAGGGACAAUGAUAGUGCCUGCCACAUAAUUGAUGGUCAAUAAAUUUUGGUUAAAUAGUAACAAGAAACUCCCAUUUAAAAAAUGUGUUAUCGUUAUCAUUCUCAAUCUGGAUGCUCUCCUCUAUACACAGUUUUAUUCAGUAACUCUCUUAAAAUUGUAAAGGUGAGAAAUUGAACACAGUUUCCCAGGUCUUUGAGCAGCACGAGAUACAGGGAGAAAAAAAAUGCUUUGUGCUUGAAUACUUUACUUCUGAUUGGAGAAAAUAAACACUGCACUGGAUUAUUUUUAAAGAUACAUCACAUUACGUUUGUGAUCAACUGAAAUGCUAAGAUAUUUGCAUGUGGAUUUCUGCCAAGCUGCUUUUCUCCCAUUCUUCAUGUGUGUGAUUGAUCUUGAAAUCAAAUGGUGGGACUUUAUAUAUUUUUUUGUUUUAACUCAAGGUAAAGUCUGACAAAAAUCACGUUAAAUUUGAUGCUGUCAGUGAAGACAUUAGCAAUCCUUCCUGGCUUAAGGUCACUGGCAAAUUUGAUAUACUUAUCUUUUGUGGGGUUUUUUUGUUGGUUUUUUUAAGACAGG
rnacentral:lncRNA from 1 species